UACAGAGGUCUCAAGCGUUGUUCGGAUUCAUUGGGCGUAAAGGGUGCGUAGGUGGGUUGGUAAGUCAGUGGUGAAAUCUCCAGGCUUAACUUGGAAACUGCCAUUGAUACUAUCAAUCUUGAAUACCGUGGAGGUCAGCGGAAUAUGUCAUGUAGCGGUGAAAUGCUUAGAUAUGACAUAGAACACCAAUUGCGAAGGCAGCUGGCUACACGAAUAUUGACACUGAUGCACGAAAGCGUGGGGAUCAAACAGG
rnacentral:rRNA from 1 species